rnacentral:lncRNA from 1 species
UGGAUUAUGGGAUAAAAGUCAUGAAACACGUUGGAGUUGUUUAAUCACUUAAAAGAAAGACGUGAAAGGUUUUGAUUUUUUUAUUUUUUUUUUCAGAUUGGGAAAUUAUAUUUUGAAUUGACCUCUGAUUAUCUUAUUCGUUUUUAAAUGUGGCGGUUUUUACAUAUUUCUGACUUCUGAAAGUGAUUGAUAACCACAAUAAUUAAACUAUUCAUUACAAAAUUAUUUAGAGUGGACUUUAACAAAAAC